UCCUUGGUGGUUCAGAUGGUAAACCAUCUGCCUGCAAUGCAGGAGAUCCAGGUUCGAUUCCUGGAUCAGAAA
rnacentral:tRNA from 1 species